GCUGGGCUCGGGGGUCCC
rnacentral:siRNA from 1 species